AAAGAAAUAUUGAAUAAAAAGCUUCUAACUUUUUUUAAAGCACUAAUCUGUUUAU
rnacentral:tRNA from 1 species